rnacentral:lncRNA from 1 species
AGUUGCUCCCGGCGGAGCAGGGGCAUGCAGCUCAGCGGCCACCGAGCCUCUGGGGCUCGCCCGGCCGCUCCUCGCGCUCCCAGACGCCUGUGACGCCUGUUGGGGCCAAGCUGCUGCCGUUCCCUCCGCAGACAGACGCGCCGCGCCAGCCUCACGAGCCCUGCACCAACUUCUGCCCGACAAGCCCAACUUCUGCGCCGGGUUCGGACUUGCGGAGCCGGAACGGCGCACCGCGCGCAGCCCGGGCGGCGGCCAGGGCGGAUCAGCCUCGCCGAGAUGUCCUCGCGACUGUGGCUCUGGUGCUUCUGCCUGGGCGGUUGCCGGCUGGCCGCCAGGAAGCGCCCUACAGCUCCGGCUGGGCAUGCCAAGUGUUUGUGAAGAACAGCAAGUGACUGUGGUUGGACUUGCACACCCAUGUGUUUGGGCAUUCACACACAUUGUCAAGCUCUGCAAACAAGGCUGUACUGGCUCAAGUUGGUAUGUGAGCUAUGAAAGAAGCUAUCGCUGCAGUGGGAACUUGUUUCAAUGGAAGAAAAUGCUCAGAUGGUGAAGGCCAGUAGUGCCAGUGUUCAGAGGGAUUUCAUGGACCCCACUGUCAAUAACAGUCCUCUUUUCCGUCUUCUCAUUCCUGUGGAUCUGUCCUGUAGCCUUUCCACGCUAUCCUCAGGCUCAUCUGUUUUCUGAAGAUGG